rnacentral:siRNA from 1 species
AUUCAUAAAAGUUGGGGUGGUAUA